rfam:Ictidomys tridecemlineatus contig079264, whole genome shotgun sequence.
UGGGAUAUAGCUCAGUUGGUAGAGUGCUUGCCUUGCAUGCACACAGGCCCUGGGUUCAAUCCCCAGCAUCAUAC